rnacentral:rRNA from 1 species
CAAUAGCGUAUAUUAAAGUUGUUGCAGUUAAAAAGCUCGUAGUUGGAUUUCGGGACGGGCCAGUUGGUCCGCCGCAAGGUGUGUUACUGACUGGCCUGUUCUUCUUCGCAAAGACUGCGUGUGCUCUUCGUUGAGUGUGCGUAGGAUUUACGACGUUUACUUUGAAAAAAUUAGAGUGUUCAAAGCAGGCUAUCGCUUGAAUACAUGAGCAUGGAAUAAUGGAAUAGGACUUUGGUCCUAUUUUGUUGGUUUCUAGGACCGAAGUAAUGAUUAAGAGGGACAAUUGGGGGCAUCCGUAUUUCGUUGUCAGAGGUGAAAUUCUUGGAUUUACGAAAGACGAACAACUGCGAAAGCACUUGCCAAGAGUGUUUUCAUUAA